CCUCUCAGGGAGGGGUUCGGACCCUUCGAUUGAGAGCCCUCCCCGGCAGUGACCUUCUCGGUGCGUCGCGGCACCGCUGCUAGGAUGAAGUCAGGAAGUGAUAGUGGCCCGGGUUGCAGAGUCACCUCCGUCCCGGGAUUCAAACUCAGGACCUCAUGCUUGGAAGGCAGAUGCUGUGCCACUGAGAUCCCUGGCCCAAAUGCUGAGGUUUUAAGUCAGAGGUCGGGGAGAGCUGAGAAGACAAUGCUGGUGGAAGAGUGUUUAGGCCAAGGACUGGCCAGUGUAAAGAUCCUGAGGUGGGCACGUGCCAGUUUUCAUCCAGUUAAGUAUGAUGUUGGUCCUCCUGAUUCUUAAGAACCAAGACUGAAACGGAGGGACAAGAGGGUGGGUGUUGGAUGCUGAAGCCCAUCUGCAUGGACUCCUGAGGCCCCUGUGUGUGCAGUGCCAUAGCUCCCAUGCUGAUCCCUCUGGAUCCUGGUGUGGAAACGUGGCCAGGCUGUAAGCCCCACACAGGCCGAAUGAGGGAAUGGCAGGUCUUAGGCUGCUCCGUCCAGAUGUGUGCCUAAUUACAGGAAUUCAUGCUGGUCUGCUCCUGCCAUGGCUGCGGGACAGGCCCACUUGGAAUGAGAUGGAGCCAGCUCUUGGCCCUGACUGCCCUGUCCUCAGCCCCACGGCCACUUCAGCCUGCGAGCCCCAAGCUGCUUCCCGUGGGGGCAGGAAGGCCACUCUGUGUCCAUGUCCUCCACGUCCACCUCUUCUUCCUCCCAUUUGUUCCAUCAAAGGUCCAGGGGGCCCUCCUGGACCGCCUCGUCUUCCUCCGCCAAAGCCACCUCGGUCCAUGCCACGGCCACCACGGAAGCCACCUCUGUCUCCACCACGGCCACCUCUGAACAUUCCACCAGGACCACCACGGUCCAUGAGGCCACCUCUUCCUCCCCGCAUGCCACCAGGGCCACCUCUACCACGAUCACCACCUAAGUGAAGAACUGACAACAGUCAGCGGGCAGAGGCUCCAAGGACACGCUGCACGGGGCCUGCUUCCGUCUCCCAGAACACCACCAACAGAGACUCUCAUAACCUCAACAUUUAAGGCUCAAAAGCAGAUAUAAAGAACUGAAAGAGCAAAUUCAAGAGUUAUGGAAGUGAGGUGUCCUUUUUGACAGGGUCUUACUGUGUAGUCCAGGCUCACCCCAAACUCAUGAUGAUCCUCAGUGCUCAACCUCAACUCUUUUUUCUUGUCUCUUUGCCAAAAAAUUCAUAGAAUUCUUUCUGAUAGCUAUCUGGCUUCUAUCCCACCCCAUAAUCCUACUACCUCCUCUAUCUUAGUAUCUGGGUGACAUUAUAGAACUGAUAAUACAACUACAAUUUAAGGUUCUUAGUGGUGGGUAGCUAUAAUUUACUAUGCCCACUAAGCACAAGAGGUUUAGCACUAGCAAGCUGAGAUGAUGAUCACAAAAACUUUUACCUACCUGGGGGUGGGAAGGGUGGCGGGAGGAAGCCUUCAGGUUUUGGGGCCUUACACUGGUUGCAUUCUGUUCUCCAGGCAAAGUUCUGGUUUCCACAACCCCUGAAUAAAGUCAUAUUGCAGUAGAGAUCAAGCAAUGAACUAAAGAAGUAAAAUUAGCAAAGGCAACAUUUUGCACUCAACACCAUAACCAUCAGGUCUGGAGUCCAAAGCAUUAUGAGAAAAUGUCAAGAAAAUGGUUUGAGUUACAGGCAGCAGUGUAACCACCGGACCACAUGGAACAGUUUGGGAUGGCAGAUUGCUGCUCCCACCUGGAUAGUCACUGGCAGGAUUUCACUAUAUAGUUCAGGCUGGCCUUGAACUUGUGGUGAUUUUCCUGCCCCAGCCUCCCAAGUACUGGGAUUACAGGUGCGUGCCAUCACAUGUGGCAGUUAUUAUACUACUCUCAAUAAUGAAAAUACGUACGGAUUGGGACACUGCCAAUCUCCAGCUCGAUGUUGGACGUUUCCUCCACCAGAGGGGUUUCCUCGGGAACCCCGGGGGCCUCUUGGAGGAAAACCUCCUCUGUCUCCUCCACGGCCUCCCAUGCGACCCAUGGGUCCUCCAGGACCUCCUGGGCCACCUGGACCUGCAAUAAGAAACAAUCAUCUCUUUAUAGAAGUAGAGAAAAUAAACUCUCCUAUAGGCUCAAUGAUCUAGUAGUACAGGCAUUAGCAUGCCCACAACUACCAAGUCAUGUACCAGAGGGCUGUCCAUUUAGCUCCCAAUAAUCCUACCACAUGUUCAUGCAGAACACUGUGAUUUUUUUUUUAUACCUGGAAUUGAACUCACAACUUUGCACUUGCCAGGCAGACACUGUGCCACUAAAUUAUAUCCCUAGCCCCACAUUUUCAUGCAAUGAGACUAAAACAGAAUAAAUGGCAGCCCCAGAGCAGAGAGGUGCCAGAGGGCUCCUAGGUUCUCUAACCAAUUAACUUACAUUUUAUAAACAUUUACCAUCAGCUUUCAAGAGUGCAGUACUAAGCCUACACAUAACUUUGUUACUUCAUUUCAACACAAAUCGAAUUUCUCAAGAGCAAAGAUUGGGCUGAAAAACAUUUAAUGAAACAGAUCAAAGGAAAGUGUAAAUACCUCCACGGAGUGGUGGUGGCAUGCCUCUGCCUUCACGGGGUGGCAUGCCACCUCGCAUGCUGUUCAUCGGAGGCUUCUUCCGAGCAAGGGAGACUUUAAGUUUGCUUCCUUGAAAAUCUUUCCCUAGAACAAGGUAACAUCAAUGAACCCCAAAGUCCAACUCCUCUCUCCCAGAGGGACUACAAUCUAUUUCUCCUCUAGCAAUCUGAGUACUUCUCAAACUUGGUGUCCCCAGAAAUAUCAACCCCGCCUCAUCUGCAAAUCUCCUAAAGAUUUUUACCAUUAAGCCCCACUACCACGGGCUUUAAAAUACAAAAAUCUCUCUACCUAAAAACAAAACAAAACAAAACAAAAACCACACAAAUCCCAGUAAACAAACAAUCUCAAACAAAACACCAUUUCUCUAUUCCAAGUACAGCCAGUUGGUAGGAGGCAAAAUGUGUACUAGGAUCCUUGCAGAGCAUAGACAGACUGGGCAAGAGCCAAGAAAGGAAAGCUAGGACUUAAAGUUCUGACACUUUCAAGUUGGUUGUGUGUUAAGUGAAAUUCUAGCAUUGAUGUCCAGGCUUUAUUUAAAAUAUAGUUAUAUUCAAAUGUACACUGGCUUACUGUUUCCCACCCCCCCACCCCCCAGGUGGUACUUGGACUGAAUCCAGAGUUCUGUGUAUAGUAUGCAAGUACUCUACCACUGAGCUUCACCCCUAGCCCUGGCAUGUUUCUUAUAAAGGGUUUUCUGUAUCUUCCGGUAACACUGGCUUGGAGAAGCAUGUGCAGCUUUCAGUGAGACUGAUUGACAAUACCACCACCUGAAAAUAAAUUGAUUUCCAAACCA